GGGGCCGUAGUUCAGCUGGUUAGAAUGCCGGCCUGUCACGCCGGAGGUCGCGAGUUCGAGUCUCGUCGGCCCCGCCA
rnacentral:tRNA from 2 species